rnacentral:lncRNA from 10 species
CUCCCGUACCCCAGGUUUCUACUUUGAGUUUUGCGUGUGUGCCACCGAGGCCCUACAGAAUGCACUGCUGUCACCUGGGUAGGCCAGAAGAGUUCAUCAAGGGGGUCUUCAUUCCCAGCCACACCGUAAAAGACCCAGGCUAUUCCUGUGCUAGCCCUGUCCACAAGAAGAACUUGGAUAUCAGACUUUGGCCAUCUUGCUGGUCUGGUAAAGCCUUUCUAAGAUGCUGGAGAGGAGUUGGUGAUGGAUAAAAAGACAAGGCUGCACUAGCUUUGACCCAAUAGUUACUGAGAAAUGAAGUGUUGAUAGAAUUUCUUCUUUUAUAGGUGGCAGCAAUGUGGGUAGAGGAAGACUCAACUCCUUCCUACAACACAGGGCAGAAAUUAAUACUUAUAAAGGUAAACUUGACUUAAAAAAGAAAAUAUUAUGGUGAAUCUACUCUGAUUAUGAAGAAUGGAGAAAUGUGGUAUAUGUUUCAGACCAGAUAGAUUUCUAUCAGAAGUAUUUUUAAAAAUAUUUACGUUAGGGUGCUUAAAUAUAUAACCUUCUAUGAUCUAGAACACUGACAAAUAUGUAUAACCCUUCUCCAGCAAUCCUGAAUAGUGUAUAUAGUACACAACUGCCCCAUUUUAGUAUUGCAUUGCAAAAGAACAAACACAACAUUUUUAAAUACUUUUAGUUCACAUUUUUUAAUGUUUAAAAACUAUGUUAACAGAGCAGUUAUAGAACAGAACUUCUUAUAUUUCUUUAUUUACACCACACUCUGAAAAAAAAAACCCAGUUCUAUUUGAUUAACUAUGAAUAGCAAAGUUUUGUGACUUGUGACUCACUUAAAUCACCCAUCUGAAAUUCAUUUACAAGGUUUUUACAUUAAUAAAACAGUAGUGUGGUACAUGUAUUGGACUCAGAUGAAGUCUAAAGUACACUGGACUCUAGAGAGUGGAUUACAUACCAACGACCAAGAUUCAAGUGUUUGGGGAAAAAAAUACCUUAGACAGUCUAUGUUGGCGUCAACACUAAAAUAAAAGGCAAACAUGCAGGACUUUCAAAGCUUGAUUAGAUAAUGGUUCUUUGUUUUCUUUCCUUCAAAUUUGUGCUCAUAAUUAAUAUUCAGGUUCCCUCUCCCCGCUUUCAUAGAUCCCAAAGUUUGAGAAAUGCAGCAAUUCAAUUGUGAAAAAAACAUUCUUCUCCCCAGCUUCUGUUUUCAUAUGGAACUAUUUCUCAGACAUUUCUUUCUCUAAAUUAAGUAGGGUUUCAGGUUCCAAGUUUACAUUGAGAGAACUAUGUUACCUGGGAGAGAAUGUAAAUUUUUCUAAUUCCCAAACAAAACCACUAAUUUCUAGGAAACAUUUAUUGUUUAUAUGCAGAUCCUAGAGACUUCUAUUUCAGUGCAGAUCAACAACUUCAAAAAUAUACAGCCUCCUAUUUAUUUACAAUAAUAUUUACAUACAAAUGAAGUAUUUCCUGCAAUAAGCCUCAGCUGCAUAGAUUCUUCCUUUAAAAACGUAAAUUUGAGCCUGUAUACAGAUGGGCCCAGUUUCAUAGCCCUUCCUUAGAUAAAAGCCUAAAGAAGGAAAAUGUCUGCACCUUGUGAACUUUACAUAUUUUGCAAGAACUUUCUCUUUGAGAUUUAGUGAUAGUUUUUAGUUGUUAGACACCCCACCUUCAGCUUGUACCUGAAAGCUUUAUCUCGUUAUAAAUAAUUCACUGUAAUUUAGGGGAAGUAUGUCCUGUUGCUAAAGGAUUCUCAAACCUGCCAUCCCCAAGGAAAAUCAUGUAUUAGUAUUGCUAAAUGAUGGUCUGUAUAUUCUUUGUUUUGAAGGUGGCUAGAUGUUUGCUGUAAACUUGAAUGGGAGAAUUAUAUUCUUAAAGUUUACACCCCCUAUAAGCCUAAAGCCAUUUAAAUUGAUAAACUGAGAGAGACUAAUAGAUUUUGCUCUAAGGUAUAAAAUCCAUUAUCUGAUCAUAUUCCUGACCUCCCCCCGACUCCAACUAAAUGUGCCAUAGUCCAACACUGUGCCUCACUGAAUUGGAACUCAGUAUUUCAUUCUUUUGAGAGCAGUUUGUAGCUCCUUAAGCAGAGCAGACCUUUCAGUAGAGAAUUCGCUUUAAAAGGAGGACAGGAUUAUCACCACACGAUUAACACAAACACUGGAGAACUUCUGACACAAAUUCAGUAUUUCUUCUAAGUCUGCAUUUACAAAGGGUCUUUUAUUUUAAUUUCUUUCACAACUGCCUCGCCCCAACCAAAGCCUCACUUUCAUUUCCUCACAGCUUUAAAAAAUAAAAUAUUAUCAUGCCUCAGCCCGAGGUAACACCGAGUGCAGGCAGCCUGUGUUUAGGAAUUUGCACCUGCGCUGCUAUUUUCAACGAGAAGGGGAUAACCAGGUGGCAGCGCUGGAUUCACUCACUUUCUUGCCAUUGCAGAGACCCCUGCCGCCAGGCUCCUUUCCUCCCCUCCCUAAAGCCUGGCUCCUGUAUGUUGCACCAUGAGUCCUAGGAAUCAUCUGGUGAGGGAGGACUAAUGGGAAGUAAAAGGGAGACUCAUUGGCUUAGGGUGGUUCUCAAACUUGAUGCGCUUUAGAAUCAUUUGCUGAGUCCCUCCCUGAGAGCUUCUGACUUCACCAUGUCUGGGAGGGGGCUGAGAAUCUGCAUUCUAAUGAGGUCCCCGAUGAUGCUGAUGCUACUGGUCUAGGGGCCACACUUUGAGAACCACUGGCUUAGAGGCAUGAAUCAAGCUCUAGAAAGCAGUCAGUUCCAGGGUAAUAGUCUUAGGUGCUCGCCGAAGCACUGAGGAAUCUUACCACAACCCUGUGUCCACCACAAGCCCUAUCACCAUCACCCAUCUGGGUGCUUCUUUUUCUCAACAGGGUCUGUAACUGUAAAAAAGGAAAGUGGGUGGAGAGGUUUUUUUUUCCCCCUUUUUUCUUGUUUUCUAACCUCCCAGCUUAUUCCUGGAGAGUUAAAACACAGUUACUAGCACUAAAAACAUUAAAAGUGCUGCGCGCUGGCCUCAAUGACUGGUACAUUGGAGAAGCUAUGCAGCAGCAUCCUUUUCUGUGGUGGGCAGGGCAGGAGAUGAACCAUAGGAGCCAAAAGUCAGACAAACAGAAGAAGGCACACCAAGCCUGAACCCUCCGGACAACAGCAGAGUUACCAGCUGAGGGAUGUCCCUGGAGGUUUCUGACCCAUGAGAGGCCCCCUCACCCUCCUUCACCCUCCUCCUACCACCAAGCUCUCCAGCAGUCAUGGACUUAUUCCUCCCCGUUUUUACUGGACACCAUGUUUCAGGCCAAUCUGGUCACCUGUAGUCUGGUGGCAUCUCUACCCCUACUGUCCAGUAGGUGGGAUGUGGCUGGGAUGGACAGUCCAGAUUCUACUAACAGGCAACUCUGAACAAACACCCUCCCUGGAAACAAUAUUAUAUUUGAUGGUUAGAUUCUUUAGCAAACCUAUUACAUUAUUCGAUGUCAGCUAACCUAUUGGUUUGAUCAUCUUUUCCAGCUGCUCUAGGGGCCUAACCACCAUGGAUAACCUGGUCUCUAAAGGAAAAUACAUUCCAGGUUGCAAACAACCAACUGACAACCUUUUGGAAUAUGAUCUCCUUAUACACUGGGGCUGCCUGUGCCUAAACACAGUAGAUUUCCCUCCUGUGCGUAUUUCAUCAGCCCCACUUCCAAUAAGUAACAUUAAGUAAAUUAGGGAUUGACAGUAUUCUGUGUUACAAUAACUAGAGAACAGUUCUAAGUCCAAAGUGUGGAACUGGCACUGUUCACUAGUAUAGAGAUCCUACCUACCAAAGGAAAACGUGCUGCUCCCCAUGCCUAGGGUAUAGUAUUCUUUAAUCUACUAAUUUAGCAGAAAAACUUCCAUAGCACUUGACUGUGCUGUUUAAAUUCGACCUAACAUCUGUGAUACAUGUAUUUUUGGCUACCAAUUAACUAUUCUGAAUAAGAAUAAGAGCAGUAUACUUUACAGCUAAUCUCACACAAAGGAUGUAACUAAUCAGUGAUAUUUGACGAAUUAUGGUAGGGUCUAUUAUAUUCAGUCAACAACAAAUUUAGAGAAACAUACAAAGGUUUUUAAAAAUAUGGGUGGUGUCACACAGAUCAACAACACUGUGCCUCCUCUAAAUAAAUCUAUUUUAAAUAAAUAUUCCUUGUAUUGACACAUGAAACCCAGAGGCCCAAAAAUAUCACUACACAUCCCAGUUAAUGAUAAGGUUCUAAAUUGACUUUGUGAGGGUAAAAUGAAUUGCUAUAAAGUAACAAGGAAAAUAGAAAGUAGCAUAAUAUAGCUUGCAAACUAAAUUAUGUAUUUUUAAAGGUACAGUCAUCCCACUACCUGGCUAUUUCAUUACUUGGUGCUCUAGACAAGCUCCCAAGAACUGACUGGAUCUUGGCUUGUUCUGUUUCUGUCAUUGCUAAUAUAAUAUGGAAAACAUUGCUGAAAAGAACAGAGAUGGCCAUGGAUAUGGCUAGGUUAGGUAUUCAUAUCCAAAUAUCUGAACUCUAACCUAAUGUGGAUAUGAUUCUGUAGCAUUAUAUUAAAAGCUAUGAUGAUGCAAUGCAGGAAAUAACCUUUCAUUCUCCCCCCUAGAGGAUCACGACAGGUGCUUCAAUGCCUGCCUUAUCUAUGGGACAGUAGUGUGAUUCUCAGUGAGAGUGAAGGCCUUUGGGGAUUUGAGUCAGGAAGGGAACAUGGCUAAGUGCCUGGAAACUCUGCCAACAGUCUGCGGUUAGAUUCUACUUGUCUCUGGAUAAGAAAUCUGUGCUCAGUGAACUUAUGUGUUUGGAAAAUUUAACCAGAAUAUAGAGGAAGCAUAAGUCCUGUUUCAAGAGACCAGCUCACGGAGCAUGCACAUUUCUCACCAUAGGCAAGCUAUGGACAAUUCAAUCACAUGGGAUGGCCCCACUUAGGGGAAUGCAGUUCUGGGUUUCCUUGCUAUCCCUAUUCUUUUUCAGCUACAAACUCUCUUCUUUUUCAGUCUCUUCAGUUUCCUUGUGCUCCCUUUAGGAGAGGGACAAGGGUAAGAGUACCAGGCAACUCUGUCCUCCUGCAUGGACAGUUGAGACGGGCAGUAAUGGCACAGUCCUUGGUUGGGGAAGAGAAGAGGAGACAGCACAGACACUGAGACCCCCUUGUCUUCCUCAUCUGGGGGAAGGAAGGUACUCAGUGAUUCUGUCAGAAGCUCUUCACAAAGACUAUCUCUGAGGGUUUUUUUUUUUUUUUUUUCACAAGACUAGAUGGAGAAUUAAUGAAGAAGAAAUAGAAAUGAGGCUUAUUUAAGGUACAAAAUUCUUGUAUUUGUAAUAACCUAGAUUUAUAGAUAUAAAACAAGUCUUUUAAAGACUUCCCUAAAAUACUCAAUAUAAAACAGGAGUUACUUAUCCU